rnacentral:rRNA from 1 species
AUUGAACGCUGGCGGCAUGCCUUACACAUGCAAGUCGAGCGAACACACGAGUACUUGCCCCUGCUGACGUGUGCGGCGGGCGGGUGUGUUACAUGGGGAUAUCUCCUGUAGUGGGCGAUAGUACGUUCAGAGCAGCAUUAAUACCACAUGCGAUUUACGGAAGCAGCAUGGGUCCAUUCGGACAUAGCGCUUUGGUGUUGCCCAUUGGCGGAUUAGCUAGUUGGUAGGGUAAAGGCUUACCAAGGCGACGAUCAGUAGCUGGUCUGAGAGGACGAUCAGCCACACUGGAACUGAGACACGGCCCAGACUCCUACGGGAGGCAGCAGUGGGGAAUCUUGGACAAUGGGCGAAAGCCUGAUCCAGCAAUGCCGCGUGUGUGAAGAAGGUCUUCGGGUUGUAAAACACUUUUGUCAGGGAAGAAAAACUGGGCACGAAUACAGGCGGGGGUUGACGGUACCGGAAGAAUAAGCACCGGCUAACUACGUG